UGGGGGGAGAAUGGCUAUAUAUCACCGGUAUAAAAAAAAAAAACACACACACACAGACCCACACACGUCCUGCGUUUGUCUGGUCACGCAUUGUCUUUCACGAUCGAGAUAAAACGUUACCCAAUCUUUCACUGUCAAUUUUUAUGAAAAAUCAACAAAAUUCAGUGUUUUUAAAAACACAAUAAACGGUUUCAAGGGAAAACAA
rnacentral:lncRNA from 1 species